AGGGUGGUGGCGAAACUGGUAGACGCAAUAGCUUUGCAAGCUAUGUCCUUGGCCGGAAAUUGCGGGUUCGAGUCCCGUCCACCCCACCA
rnacentral:tRNA from 1 species